rnacentral:rRNA from 1 species
GAUGAACGCUGGCGGCGUGCCUAAUACAUGCAAGUCGAGCGAACAGAUGAGGAGCUUGCUCCUCUGACGUUAGCGGCGGACGGGUGAGUAACACGUGGAUAACCUACCUAUAAUACUGGGAUAACUUCGGGAAACCGGAGCUAAUACCGGAUAAUAUAUUGAACCGCAUGGUUCAAUAGUGAAAGACGGUUUUGCUGUCACUUAUAGAUGGUUCCGCGCCGCAUUAGCUAGUUGGUAAGGUAACGGCUUAUCAAGGGGACGAUGCGUAGCCGAACUGAGAGGGUGAUCGGCCACCCUGGAACUGAGACACGGUCCAGACUCCUACGGGAGGCGGCAGUAGGGAAUCUUACGCAAUGGGCGAAAGCCUGACGGAGCAACGCCGCGUGAGUGAUGAAGGUCUUCGGAUCGUAAAACUCUGUUAUUAGGGAAGAACAAAUGUGUAAGUAACUAUGCACGUCUUGACGGUACCUAAUCAGAAAGCCACGGCUAACUACGUG